AAGUCGGCAAAUUGGAUCCGUAAUUUCGAAAUAAGAAUUGGCUCUGAGGAGCGGGACACGUCAGGCUUGAUCGAGAAGCGGGUCUGGCUGACAUACCGGGCCUGGACGAGAUAAACGCUCGGCGUUUUGGAGCCAAAUGUGGGAUUGGAGCUCGGUCCCGUGCCUUGGCCUCCCGCGGAUCUUCCUUGCUGCAAGGCUUCUAAAGCAGUGCGAGCUGUCGUGGUCAUCCUCUUCGAUCGCCAUUCAAUGCUCAGCUCAGAACUGACACGGACUAAGAGAAUCCGACUGUCUAAUUAAAACAAAGCAUUGCGAUGGGCUUCGCAGGUAUUGACGCAAUGUGAUUUCUGUCCAGUGCUCUGAAUGUCAACGUGAAGAAAUUCAAGCAAGCGCGGAUAAACGGGAGUGACUAUGACUAUUUACUGAGAUAAACGUUAAGGAAACCAUUUCAAUUGCAUAAAUAUUGAAAAAAUUGAAAAAAUGAGAGGUG
rnacentral:ncRNA from 1 species